UACGAAGGGGGCUAGCGUUGUUCGGAAUCACUGGGCGUAAAGCGUACGUAGGCGGAUCGUUAAGUCAGGGGUGAAAGCCUGGAGCUCAACUCCAGAACUGCCUUUGUGACUGCAUAGCUAGAGUACGGUAGAGGGGGAUGGAAUUCCGCGUGUAGCAGUGAAAUGCGUAGAUAUGCGGAGGAACACCGAUGGCGAAGGCAAUCCCCUGGACCUGUACUGACGCUCAUGCACGAAAGCGUGGGGAGCGAACAGG
rnacentral:rRNA from 1 species